AUUUUUAUAUCUACCUCGUCAUCUUUUUUCCUAACUGAUUUGAUUAUCAUAAAAUUAGUUUUAGUUAAGUUGAUGGAUAGUUUAUUAAUGUCGCACCAAUCCUUGACUUUUCCUAAUUCUCUGUUCAUGAGCUUUUCUAAGGUUUUGAGAUCACUUGCAGACGCAAACACGUUAGUGUAGUCAGCAAAAAUUCGAAAAGUCAAAGCAUCGGUGCAGCUAGGCAUAUCAUUAAUAUAGAUUAGAAACUAACUUUCAUUCCUGCCAGCUUUCGACGAUUGGAGUAGAAAGCAUUUCUAGUGUCGCGUCUGACGAACUUGACAAUGGUCUUUGGUGGGGCGUUGGGGUUGUAAGAAGGAAGCGGAUGUGAGGUUGAAAUAUCUUCCUCCUUAAGUGGCACUUCAAUGGCGUCUCCGAUCGCCAUUAACUACGUCUUUUGAGGAGUACUUCCUGUUAGGAGGGACGCCUGAUAUUUCAAGACAGUCUCCUCAGCCAUUUUGCGUCGGGAAGGCGGGAGCGUUCAAAAAGCGUGGCCGACCGCCAUUACGACAUAUGCAAAAUUCAAAACAACGGCGUGAAAAGCUGCGAAAUUCGUCUCUCCAAAUGAAAAGGAGCCGAGUCGAAAAUCGCAAGAGUUUCAGUAAUUAGUUUUUGAGAGGCAUGAAAACCAUCCCAACGUCGUCUUUAAUGUUGUAAGUAAUUCUGAAAUGUGAAUUACGCUGUGAAUUUUUAUAUUCCCGCUUUGUCACCCUUAGCCCAAGGCCACUGUCAGUGUUAAGGAAUGUAUGGAGGGACUUAUAACUAUUAAAGCGAAAAAAAAACUUUUUCGUGAAAAAUUAAAACUAUAGACUUUGUAA